UACGAAGGGGGCUAGCGUUGUUCGGAAUCACUGGGCGCAAAGCGCUCGUAGGCGGAUCUUUAAGUCAGGGGUGAAAUCCCGAGGCUCAACCUCGGAACUGCCUUUGAUACUGGGGAUCUCGAGUCCGGGAGAGGUGAGUGGAACUGCGAGUGUAGAGGUGAAAUUCGUAGAUAUUCGCAAGAACACCAGUGGCGAAGGCGGCUCACUGGCCCGGUACUGACGCUGAGGAGCGAAAGCGUGGGGAGCAAACAGG
rnacentral:rRNA from 1 species